rnacentral:rRNA from 1 species
UGCAACGCCGCGAAAGCAUGUCGGUGAUUGAGAAGGGGGAGUCAAGUGCACAGAGGAAGGCCAAUUAUGAAAGAAGGAAAAAAACACCGUGCAAAGAAUGCAUCGCAAUCCCCCUUACAGACCUAGCAAACUCAACCUCUGAAUGUCCCACUUCCCCAAGCCGCGCAUCACCCGUCUCUCGGGCCGCAAAAGAUGAUUCAUCUGAUGGCGAUCCGGGGACGAACAUGCCGAGAUACUCUGCCGGUGCUGAUG